UACGUAGGGCGCAAGCGUUAUCCGGAAUUAUUGGGCGUAAAGAGCUCGUAGGCGGUUUGUCGCGUCUGCCGUGAAAGUCCGGGGCUCAACUCCGGAUCUGCGGUGGGUACGGGCAGACUAGAGUGAUGUAGGGGAGACUGGAAUUCCUGGUGUAGCGGUGAAAUGCGCAGAUAUCAGGAGGAACACCGGUGGCGAAGGCGGAUCUCUGGG
rnacentral:rRNA from 1 species